CUCAGAAGCCCUUUCCUCUGGGCUGGGUGUGGUGGGACAGAAGGUGGCCAGGAAGCCUGUAUCUCUGGGCCGGGAGCAGCAGGAUGAACACCUGCCCUGAAGCCCCUUCCUGUGGGCUGGGACCAGCAGGACCGAUGGUAGCCUGGAAGCCCCUACCUCUGGGCCUGGAGUGGUGGUACAAAUGGCGGCCUGGAAGCCCCUUCCUCUGAGCCGGGAGCAGUGGGAUGGUGGCUCAUAAGCCUCUUCCUCUGGGCCAUGCUCAGUAGCCAUUCUUGAUAAAAAUUCUUAGGAAUAGAAAGGGAUUUCCUGCACCUCAUAAAGCUCAUCUAUGAAAACCUGCAGCUAACAUCAUAAUUAAUUUCUAAAGAUUAAAUGUUUUUUUCUCUGUGUUAGCAGCAAGACAAGAGUGUUUCUUUCAAUUCUCUUAUUUGAUACAGUACUGAAAGCUCUAACUACUAGAAUACAGCUGGUGAAACAAAUGAAAUCUAUACAGAUUGGAAAGGAAGAAAUUAAAUUCUGUGACUAGAAAACAUAACUGUCUACAUAGAAAACCCCUGGGAGUCUACAAAAAUACCUUCUAGAAUUCAUAAGGUGCUUCAGUAAGGGUGGCAACACGUGAACUGGUACUCUUCCUAAUAAACGCUUCUGCUUCCAGCCGGCUGCACAGUCAUGAAGGGUAAACAAGCGGUGUUCCGAAGGGGACUGUCGGAGGACAAAAGAAUAUCUUGAAGAAAGUGUUUCUCAAAAUGAAGUCCAAAGACCCAUAAGAAUUCUAAUGUGCGAUCAGUCAUAAACAUGUUAAACAAACACCCUGUGUGAUUAUUCUACAUUGUGAAUAACCUACAGAAAAGAGCAACACUUAAAAGCAACAUCAUAGAGUUGCACAGAACGCGCCGAAUCAGCCCGCUGCAGACAGGCAGGUCUGCGGACGCCUUAGAACGUCGCCAGUUGCAUGGAACAUGCCGAAUCAGCCCGCAGCAAUCCACUGGACAGCGCCCCCCCCCUUCUGUACAGCCACCUGGUUCCACACUACAAAGACACAGAGGACACUGGACCACCAGACCGCUGUACUGGGUAAGUUGGAGUCAUCUUCACCUCCCAUCAGGACCAGGACUGUCUUCAGGGGAAGGGCAGCUGGAACCUGCAAUACAACUCUGCAGAGUCCAACCCUACAGGAGGACAGGGAGCUCAACUUGGGACUUGCAGCCAGAAAUCUGCCUGAAUCUCAUGGGUCUGCGACUAGCUUGCUGAGACUCAUUGACUUAUAUCUGCACACUGCUGCCCACGUUGUCUAUUGUGACAGCAGAGACAUACGCUGAAAGAGGCCCUUCAUCUUCAUGGUUAUUUUUCAUUCCCAAAAUUAGUUUUAUUAUUUUGGUUUUUUUCUCUUUUCUUUUCUUUUCUUUUGCUCCUCUUAUCUUUAAUUUUUUUUCCUACUCUUUGCAAAUAUUUGUUUUUCUGUCCUUUUUCUUUUCUUUUCUUCUUUCUUUUCUCUUUCCUUUCUCUCUCUCUUACACUCACUGUCUUGCUCUCCCACAUUGUUCAUCUUCCCUUUUUGUCCCGGUUUUGGUCCUCAUUCGGAGUUCUUCUUUAUUUUCCUAUUAUUCUCUUUUUCCUUCUCACCUGUGUCCUCUGGCCACACUGCUAACCUUCCCCUAUCCUUCUUCCCAUCUAUCCCUCCCUUCUCAACCCCUUCUAACUCCCCAUCCCAAAGGGUAAAGUUGUUAUACUGAAGAGUUUAUUCACUAUAUGUUGGGUUGGUCCUCGAUCUUGAUUUAAGUCACACAGCUAAAGGUGAUAGAUUAAUAACUACCACAAAUUGUCAUUCUUUAAGAGUUAUUUGAUACUAUGGUGUUGCUGAUUGUAUGACUUGGGCUAAGGUGUUGUGAUUGAUCUAAACAGUUUUCCUUCCUG
ensembl:lncRNA